ACAGCAAAGAUUGCCACCUGCUCCUUCCUCUGGAAGCUCCAUCCCAGAGGGGCACCCACCUGAUGCCGGCCAGAUCGCUCCUGUAUGAGGAAAAUUGAACAGAAGCUUGAUGACUUCCCAAGAACAAUUUGGUAGAAAAGAGUGCUGAUGAAGAAGAGAGGACAACACAAAAGAAGACACAGAAGCACCAUGGGCAAACCAUGGAACAAGAACUGGAAUGAAUAUCUAUUCCACUACCUGAACUAAAGACUGCAGACGGAGAAAGGGAAGACAGGGGUUUAACUGGCAAUUCAAAGUGAGGUGAUCAGCCUUCUGUUACAGAGUUAACUGUGUGUGAAAGAAUGUAAGAUUCAUGUAUACAUCUGACAGUGACAGCUGUAUGGCCACAGCUUCACAACUGGAGCUGCUGAUAAGACACCUACUCGGAGUAAUGAUGCAUAAUAUGGAAAUGCAAUAACCCAGACCUCGGUCUUGCUCUGUUGCCCAGGCUGUAGUGCAGAUGCAAGAU
rnacentral:lncRNA from 1 species